rnacentral:rRNA from 1 species
GUAGCUUGCUACUUAACCUAGCGGCGGACGGGUGAGUAAUGCUUAGGAAUCUGCCUAUUAGUGGGGGACAACAUCUCGAAAGGGAUGCUAAUACCGCAUACGUCCUACGGGAGAAAGCAGGGGACCUUCGGGCCUUGCGCUAAUAGAUGAGCCUAAGUCGGAUUAGCUAGUUGGUGGGGUAAAGGCCUACCAAGGCGACGAUCUGUAGCGGGUCUGAGAGGAUGAUCCGCCACACUGGGACUGAGACACGGCCCAGACUCCUACGGGAGGCAGCAGUGGGGAAUAUUGGACAAUGGGGGGAACCCUGAUCCAGCCAUGCCGCGUGUGUGAAGAAGGCCUUUUGGUUGUAAAGCACUUUAAGCGAGGAGGAGGCUACCGAGAUUAAUACUCUUGGAUAGUGGACGUUACUCGCAGAAUAAGCACCGGCUAACUCUGUGCCAGCAGCCGCGGUAAUACAGAGGGUGCAAGCGUUAAUCGGAUUUACUGGGCGUAAAGCGCGCGUAGGUGGCCAAUUAAGUCAAAUGUGAAAUCCCCGAGCUUAACUUGGGAAUUGCAUUCGAUACUGGUUGGCUAGAGUAUGGGAGAGGAUGGUAGAAUUCCAGGUGUAGCGGUGAAAUGCGUAGAGAUCUGGAGGAAUACCGAUGGCGAAGGCAGCCAUCUGGCCUAAUACUGACACUGAGGUGCGAAAGCAUGGGGAGCAAACAGGAUUAGAUACCCUGGUAGUCCAUGCCGUAAACGAUGUCUACUAGCCGUUGGGGCCUUUGAGG